AGGGGCUGCUGGUGAAGUGGAUACGCGGUGCUUCAAAUGCCGGAUUGGAACUGUCUAUUUGAUGAACUAUCACAAGAUCAAGCAUGCCAUCUAAAACAAGUUCAGCCAACAGUGCAGGGAGCAGGGGCAAUGACCCAGAUCACCCUGAGGACAUCAUCCCCAUGGUCCUGACGUCUGCCACUCAAGAGCUGUUUGGUUGCCGUGCUGAUGAGGAUGUCACAGGGGAGAACCCUUACAAGCUUCUGAAAAAAGAUGACAUCUUAGAGGACAUGAAGACAAAAGCUGCAGUGUCCGAUUUCAGCCCCGUGAAGCAGAUUAUUCUGGAUUACCCAGAGAGUGAGCUUUUGUUGGUUUUUGACAGGGACUUUACCUAUGGCCAAUGCUUCUACCUGGUUGUGACACCAGAAGCAAAGGAAAGAAUCCUCAAUCCCCCAGAACCGGAGCCUGAAGAAGAUUUCAAUGAAAUAAUUAAAACCCCAGAACCAAAGGAAUGGAUUUCUCUUGGCAGUGAACAGGAAAUUGAUGAAGAAUCUGUCAGAGAGACAAGAGCAAAGCUUUUGUACAAGUUCUCCAGAGCUCGAAAGGAGUUUGGAAUGCCAGUCUCUUUUUCAGACCGCAAUGUUGCAGAUGCCAAGGAUGGCAACGUGGAGUGCGCAUCCUAUCAAGACAGGAGAUUUAACAUCAACCUGAUGCAGAGGGACUGUGGCGUGCAGGCGAUCCCCAUUCUCCAGAGUAGCAGUGCUCAGACACAGUGGAAGUAUAUGAGGAAUAAUUGUACACAGUACACACCAGCAGAACUGAACCAAAAUGAGAAGGACAAGACACAAGAACCGCAAAACCUAAGUGAUUUCUGCAAAACAGUGACCGGAAGGGUUCUUCAUGCUCUUCAGCAAGAGGAUAUUAUGAAUGUGUUCAAAGAUGACUGGAUGGAUUUGGGGACAGAAACAGAGGACACUGACUGGUCUGGGAAAGUGUCUGAUAUUUUGAUGCUUUAUCAGGCCUUUGCAGACCAGAAGUAUACUCAGGACAAGGGGAUCAGCUGCAUGCAUUGGCAUCCCACCAUCCAUGGUGUGAUAGCUGUAUCAUUGACGGAGAAGACGACGCAGCAGUCGACCAGGUCUACCGGACCUCUCAUUGCAUUUUACAGCUUCUCUGACCCUACUCAUGCUAAGAUACUGCUGGAGUGCCCAGAUGAAAUACUUGCCUUUGAGUUCUGCCCCUCUGAUCCAAAUAUUAUUGUUGGCGGCUGCCUGAACGGCCAGGUUGUGUUGUGGGAAAUAUCUGCUUACGUCCCACGUUUGCUUCCAGUCCCACCUGGUGCUAAACAUGAAUCUGUCAAAACGGGCAUGCUGGACCUUGAAGACAAAAAAGGGAGUAACGCUCCUAUUGCGCGCUACAGUGCAAUGUCUGGAGUGGAGAACAGCCACACCGGACCAAUUACAGAUGUCCACUGGCUGCCUCCAACAUUUGAGGUGACUGCCCAAGGCAUGCCAGUGGAGAACAAAUACAAUAUUUCUGUUCAGCUUAUCACCUGCUCUCCUGAUGGAUCUUUAAUGUUCUGGGAUAUCCGAGUAUCAAAACAGCUCCGCCAGAUGGUAUCAGACAAGAAGCAGAAUGAUUCGGAGCCUCAGAUGGCAAAUUACAGUGACAACAACCCUUUCAAACAUUUGGAGCGGUCAUGGAAACCCUUGUUCAAGGUUUCCACGGUAAACAUGGAUCCCAGCAGGGAAUAUGCCCCUUUAAAAUUCUGCCUUGACCACUAUAGCCGUAAUAACGCUUCGAUCUCAGAAAAUGCUGAAGACCACGAACCAGUGCCGGACUACAGCCAACUGCAGAUGCCCUCAGGCAAAGGACUCACACCUCUGGAAGAUGUAAAUACCAAGAUUUAUAUUGGAACGGAGGAGGGGGAGAUCGUUUACACUGACUGGAAACUGGUGAAAAAUGACCUUGAUCAACUACUCAAUCCCAAGCCCCUUCAUUGUUUUAGAAUACAUCCCUGCCUGGUGAAUACAAUUGACCGCUCACCCUUUUUUAAAGACAUCAUUUUGACUGGAACUUCACUUUAUGGAACCUGCAAUAUUGCCAUUUGGAAGGAAGGAGUGUUGGAUGGACCCCUGUUUUUGUUACCAAGCUUGGAAGGGCUGUGUACAGUGGCUUGCUGGUCUUUGACCCGGCCGGCAUUUUUCUUCGUUGGGAAAGGGGAUGGAAAAAUUGAGGUGUGGAACUUGCUGGAAAAAACAGGAGAAGCCAUGCACGUGCAAGAGCACAUGAGCAACGGGAAGAUAACCUGCAUCGAACCAAAGAUGGUCUCCUCCAAGCAGCACUUCUUGGCUGUGGCUGACGAUGUUGGAGUAGUCCGUGUAUUUCAAAUUCCACCGGUAUUCUACACUGCUUCUAGGAAUGAGAAGUUGAACAUGGGAAAAUGCAUUGACCAGCAGCAAGCGAGGCUGACUGAUCUUUUGAUGAGGAGAGAAUUGUGGCAAAACCAACCAACGCUUGAAGAAAACAAGAAAGUGGAGCCUAAGAAGCCAGAAUCAUCCACAGAAGAAACAGAUGAGAUGAAAGAAUACGAUGAUUUUCUAGUGCUAGAGGAGAGCGUUCUGAAAGGCAUGGGACUGACGCCAUAAGCUGGUCCUCUCUCCUCAACGGAGCCUCUCACUUUCUCCCUGGCCAGCUCUGGAAUGUGCCUUCUGCAAUCCAACACACACAGACACACACGUGUCUUCCCCAUGGCUGGUUAGUUAUUAUAAUGACUGACACAAAGAAUGUGCUGCAGUGCUGUAAGCACAAACGCAACAUACAGACAGAAAAGUUUUUUCAGCAGUCCCAGUAAAGGCUUCAUUAUGCUACAGCAUCGCCAGUGCCGGCAUAAGACGCCAGCUGGCUCCACCCCCUCCAAACCCUUCGGCGGAGUUUGAUGUGCACCUCCAAAAAAUUCUAACCUCGCAUCAAUGCCAACGUCAUCACAACAGAUGGUUGGACAUUGAGAAGGAGAAAAAAAAAUCUAAAUCAACAUGAACCUGUGUGAAAGUGAUUGUCCACUAAACCUGAUAACUGGGACUCCAGCAAACCACAGUGAGAGGUAUUAUCCACAAACGGCGAAAACAUGGAACAGUGGUGAACCUUCACAGGAGUGGCUGGCCAACGUAAAUUAGCGACGACUUAUCCAAGAGGUCACAAAAGACCCCACAACAACAUCCAAACAACUGCAGGCCGCACUUGCCUCAGUUAAGGUCAGUGUUCAUGACUCCACGAAAAAGAAAGACACAGGGCAAAAAUGGCUUGCAUGGCAUUUGCGUACCAAGUUGGAACUCUGUAGAGCAGUGGUGUCCAAAGUGCUGCCUGGGGGCCAUUUGUGGCCCAGAGCUGGGUUUUUUUUUACCCACAGCACCAAAAAUGAGAGAAGUUGUGAUGUGACAAGAAAAGUCUUCAUUUUUACAAGAAUAACAUAAUAUUAUGAGGAAAAAUGUUUAUUUUAGUAACAUGCAGUUUAAAUAUUAAAGAAAAAAAAUAUGUUUUUUAACUAACAUAACAUAACAUGAGAAAUAAAACAACGUUUUUGGAAAAUUGGAUUGUGGAAAAGGUUAUGAGAGUAAAGCCAAAAU